rnacentral:lncRNA from 1 species
GGCGAACUGAGGACCAGCCCCGAGGAGAUUUCUGCCCUGUGCCCUCAUGCCGUGCUGCACGGACAGCAAAGAGUCCUCAACUCCAUGACUUGCUGUUCCACCAUCCCUAUGAGGACACACAUGCCAGGCAACAGAGGACCAAGCAGGACCAGUGCAGGGCAGGGGGAGCCCAGAUGACAGCUGCCUUGCCCUCCUUGUCUGUUCCUACCCCUCCCUCCCUGCCUCUUUGUUCCUCUACUGAGCCAUAG